rnacentral:misc_RNA from 1 species
UUAAGUUCAGCGGGUAGUCCUACUCGAUUUGAGGUCAAGUUGUCAGAGGUUGUCCGAAGACAGUUUGAAGCACAGAGCUCUCAAUCAGUCACCCUCUUCCGAGGUGCCGGCGAAGACACUUAUCACGCCGUACUAUGUCCAACCAAGAGUUGCACUAAUCCAUUUAAAGCGAGCCACGGUCAAGCAGCAGACGCCCAAGU